rnacentral:rRNA from 1 species
AGAGUUUGAUCCUGGCUCAGAUUGAACGCUGGCGGUAUGCUUAACACAUGCAAGUCGAACGGAAACGAUGGAAGCUUGCUUCCAGGCGUCGAGUGGCGGACGGGUGAGUAAUGCUUGGGAAUCUGCCUAAUAGUGGGGGAAAACACGGGGAAACUCGUGCUAAUACCGCAUAAUCUCUACGGAGGAAAGAGGGCCUCUACAUGUAAGCUCUCGCUAAUAGAUGAGCCCAAGUCAGAUUAGCUUGUUGGUGAGGUAAAAGCUCACCAAGGCUACGAUCUGUAGCUGGUCUGAGAGGACGAUCAGCCACACUGGGACUGAGACACGGCCCAGACUCCUACGGGAGGCAGCAGUGGGGAAUAUUGCACAAUGGGCGCAAGCCUGAUGCAGCAAUACCGCGUGUGUGAAGAAGGCCUUAGGGUUGUAAAGCACUUUCAAUAGAGAAGAAAAGCUUAGAGUUAAUAACUCUAAGCAUUGACGUAACCUAUAGAAGAAGCACCGGCUAAAUCCGUGCCAGCAGCCGCGGUAAUACGGAUGGUGCGAGCGUUAAUCGGAAUUACUGGGCGUAAAGCGCGCGUAGGCUGUUUUAUAAGUCGGAUGUGAAAUCCCCGGGCUCAACCUGGGAACUGCAUCCGAAACUAUUCAACUAGAGUAUGGGAGAGGUAAGUAGAAUUUCCGGUGUAGCGGUGAAAUGCGUAGAUAUCGGAAGGAAUACCAGUGGCGAAGGCGGCUUACUGGACCAAUACUGACGCUGAGGUGCGAAAGCGUGGGGAGCGAACAGGAUUAGAUACCCUGGUAGUCCACGCCGUAAACGAUGAGAACUAGACGUUGGGAGGGUGAGCCUUUCAGUGUCGCAGCUAACGCAUUAAGUUCUCCGCCUGGGGACUACGAUCGCAAGAUUAAAACUCAAAGGAAUUGACGGGGACCCGCACAAGCAGCGGAGCGUGUGGUUUAAUUCGAGGCUACGCGAAGAACCUUACCAGGGAUUGACAUGCACGUAGUAGGGAAGCGAAAGCGGACCGACCCUUCGGGGAGCGUGCACAGGUGAUGCAUGGCUGUCGUCAGCUCGUGCCGUGAGGUGUCAGGUUAAGUCCUGUAACGAGCGCAACCCCUGUCGUGUGUUAUACGUGUCACACGAGACUGCCGGUGUCAAACCGGAGGAAGGCGGGGAUGACGUCAAGUCAGCAUGUCCUUUAUAUCCUGGGCUACACACACGCUACAAUGGCCGGGACAACAGGCAGCCAAGCCGCGAGGCGGAGCUAAUCCUCUAAACCCGGUCUCAGUUCGGAUUGUAGGCUGCAACUCGCCUGCAUGAAGUCGGAGUUGCUAGUAACCGCGCGUCAGCAACAGUGCGGUGAAUACGUUCCCGGGUCUUGUACACACCGCCCGUCACGUCAUGGAAGCUGGCAACACCUGAAGCCGGUGGCCUAACCGCAAGGAGGGAGCCGUCCAAGGUGGGGUUGGUGACUGGGACGAAGUCGUAACAAGGUAACC